rnacentral:rRNA from 1 species
UACGUAGGGCGCAAGCGUUAUCCGGAAUUAUUGGGCGUAAAGAGCUCGUAGGCGGUUUGUCGCGUCUGCCGUGAAAGUCCGGGGCUCAACUCCGGAUCUGCGGUGGGUACGGGCAGACUAGAGUGAUGUAGGGGAGACUGGAAUUCCUGGUGUAGCGGUGAAAAUGCGCAGAUAUCAGGAGGAACACCGGUGGCGAAGGCGGUUCUCUGGGCAUGACCUGACGCUGAGGAGCGAAAGUGUGGGGAGCGAACAGG